CUACGGGAGGCACCAGUGGGGAAUAUUGCACAAUGGGCGCAAGCCUGAUGCAGCCAUGCCGCGUGUAUGAAGAAGGCCAUCGGGUUGUAAAGUACUUUCAGCGGGGAGGAAGGGAGUAAAGUUAAUACCUUUGCUCAUUGACGUUACCCGCAGAAGAAGCACCGGCUAACUCCGUGCCAGCAGCCGCGGUAAUACGGAGGGUGCAAGCGUUAAUCGGAAUUACUGGGCGUAAAGCGCACGCAGGCGGUUUGUUAAGUCAGAUGUGAAAUCCCCGGGCUCAACCUGGGAACUGCAGCUGAUACUGGCAAGCUUGAGUCUCGUAGAGGGGGGUAGAAUUCCAGGUGUAGCGGUGAAAUGCGUAGAGAUCUGGAGGAAUACCGGUGGCGAAGGCGGCCCCCUGGACGAAGACUGACGCUCAGGUGCGAAAGCGUGGGGAGCAAACAGGAUUAGAUACCCUCGUAGUC
rnacentral:rRNA from 1 species